rnacentral:rRNA from 1 species
AUUGAACGCUGGCGGCAUGCCUUACACAUGCAAGUCGAACGGUAACAGGUCUUCGGAUGCUGACGAGUGGCGAACGGGUGAGUAAUACAUCGGAACGUGCCUAGUAGUGGGGGAUAACUACUCGAAAGAGUGGCUAAUACCGCAUGAGAUCUACGGAUGAAAGCAGGGGAUCGCAAGACCUUGUGCUACUAGAGCGGCCGAUGGCAGAUUAGGUAGUUGGUGGGAUAAAAGCUUACCAAGCCGACGAUCUGUAGCUGGUCUGAGAGGACGAUCAGCCACACUGGGACUGAGACACGGCCCAGACUCCUACGGGAGGCAGCAGUGGGGAACUUUGGACAAUGGGCGCAAGCCUGAUCCAGCAAUGCCGCGUGCAGGAUGAAGGCCUUCGGGUUGUAAACUGCUUUUGUACGGAACGAAAAGCCCUGGGUUAAUACCCUGGGGUCAUGACGGUACCGUAAGAAUAAGCACCGGCUAACUACGUGCCAGCCGCCGCGGUAAAAC